GACGAACGCUGGCGGCGUGCUUAACACAUGCAAGUCGAACGGAAAGGCCCUGCUUUUGUGGGGUGCUCGAGUGGCGAACGGGUGAGUAACACGUGAGUAACCUGCCCUUGACUUUGGGAUAACUUCAGGAAACUGGGGCUAAUACCGGAUAGUAGCUCCUGCUGCAUGGUGGGGGUUGGAAAGUUUCGGCGGUUGGGGAUGGACUCGCGGCUUAUCAGCUUGUUGGUGGGGUAGUGGCUUACCAAGGCUUUGACGGGUAGCCGGCCUGAGAGGGUGACCGGCCACAUUGGGACUGAGAUACGGCCCAGACUCCUACGGGAGGCAGCAGUGGGGAAUAUUGCACAAUGGGCGGAAGCCUGAUGCAGCAACGCCGCGUGCGGGAUGACGGCCUUCGGGUUGUAUACCGCUUUCGCCUGUGUCGAAGCGUGAGUGACGGUAAUGGGUAAAGAAGCACCGGCUAACUACGUG
rnacentral:rRNA from 1 species